rnacentral:rRNA from 1 species
CCUACGGGAGGCAGCAGUGAGGAAUAUUGGUCAAUGGACGAGAGUCUGAACCAGCCAAGUAGCGUGAAGGAUGACUGCCCUAUGGGUUGUAAACUUCUUUUAUAUGGGAAUAAAAUGUUCCACGUGUGGGAUUUUGUAUGUACCAUAUGAAUAAGGAUCGGCUAACUCCGUGCAAGCAGCCGCGGUAAUACGGAGGAUCCGAGCGUUAUCCGGAGUGAUUGGGUUUAAAGGGAGCGAAGGUGGAUUGUUAAGUCAGUUGUGAAAGUUUGCGGCUCAACCGUAAAAUUGCAGUUGAAACUGGUAGUCUUGAGUACAGUAGAGGUGGGUGGAAUUCGUGGUGUAGCGGUGAAAUGCUUAGAUAUCACGAAGAACACCGAUUGCGAAGGCAGUUCACUGGACUGCAACUGACACUGAGGCACGAAAGUGUAGGUAUCAAACAGGAUUAGAUACCCGGGUAGUC